GAUGAACGCUGGCGGCGUGCUUAACACAUGCAAGUCGAACGAAACACCUUAUUUGAUUUUCUUCGGAACUGAAGAUUUGGUGAUUGAGUGGCGGACGGGUGAGUAACGCGUGGGUAACCUGCCCUGUACAGGGGGAUAACAGUCAGAAAUGACUGCUAAUACCGCAUAAGACCACAGCACCGCAUGGUGCAGGGGUAAAAACUCCGGUGGUACAGGAUGGACCCGCGUCUGAUUAGCUGGUUGGUGAGGUAACGGCUCACCAAGGCGACGAUCAGUAGCCGGCUUGAGAGAGUGAACGGCCACAUUGGGACUGCGACACGGCCCAAACUACUACGGGAGGCAGCAGUGGGGAAUAUUGCACAAUGGGGGAAACCCUGAUGCAGCGACGCCGCGUGAGUGAAGAAGUAUUUCGGUAUGUAAAGCUCUAUCAGCAGGGAAGAAAAUGACGGUACCUGACGAAGAAGCCCCGGCUAACUACGUG
rnacentral:rRNA from 1 species